CUGCCGGGGCAGCCAGACAGUUCACAGUUGUUGCACCACACAAGGUGGUUGGGUAGAAUUAAAAUGGCAUGUCUGGGGUUCCUUGUCCUUUUGGCAGCCUUCUCGGGUGUCAGCUCCCAGAUCCAGCUGACCCAGUCUGGGGCAGAAAUCAAGAAGCCUGGAGAGUCUGCGAAGGUGACAUGUAAAACCUCCGGCUACACCUUUACCAGCUAUGGCAUGCACUGGGCACGGCAGGCUCCCGGGAAAGGACUGGAGUGGAUAGGAUAUAUCAAUCCCAGUAGCGGUGGCACUAGCUACGCCCAGGCCUUCCAGGGGCGAUUCACCAUCACCAGGGACACCUCCAUAAGCACGGCCUAUCUACAGCUGGGCAGCCUGAGAACCGAUGACACAGCCACGUAUUACUGUGCUAGGGACUCAAUGACACAAACCACAUCUGGACCAAUUCAAAAACCCUCCAGUGAGAGAACCCGGGUCUCCUGCGAACACUGCAGCCCUCAGCCACCCUGGAUAACGGUGACCCCUGUGAACAGACUCUGGGUAAUUAGCCCCUAGUGACUUAGGAUCAGU